AUGAACGCUGGCGGCGUGCCUAAUACAUGCAAGUCGAGCGAACAGACGAGGAGCUUGCUCCCCUGACGUUAGCGGCGGACGGGUGAGUAACACGUGGAUAACCUACCUAUAAGACUGGGAUAACUUCGGGAAACCGGAGCUAAUACCGGAUAAUAUAUUGAACCGCAUGGUUCAAUAGUGAAAGACGGUUUUGCUGUCACUUAUAGAUGGAUCCGCGCCGCAUUAGCUAGUUGGUAAGGUAACGGCUUACCAAGGCGACGAUGCGUAGCCGACCUGAGAGGGUGAUCGGCCACACUGGAACUGAGACACGGUCCAGACUCCUACGGGAGGCAGCAGUAGGGAAUCUUCCGCAAAGGGCGAAAGCCUGACGGAGCAACGCCGCGUGAGUGAUGAAGGUCUUCGGAUCGUAAAACUCUGUUAUUAGGGAAGAACAAAUGUGUAAGUAACUAUGCACGUCUUGACGGUACCUAAUCAGAAAGCCACGGCUAACUACGUG
rnacentral:rRNA from 1 species